rnacentral:lncRNA from 1 species
CCGCGCUCCGGGGGCUGCGGUGUACGGGAGCCCCCCCGGAGCCUCGGCGGGUGGGUGAACCUCGGGGACCGCGCGCCCUUAACGCUCCACUCGCUGUUUUUUGUUUUUUUUUUUUUUUUUCUGAGCUGGAAACGAUUAAAAAGCGAAAGCGAAGGAGGGGAGCGGGUCUGCCGGCAGGGUGUGCUGCCGCCCCAGCGAAGGGACGCGCGAGAAAAUCCCCGGAGCUGCCCCGGAGCAGCCUCACGCGAGCUCGGCUGCAGCUCCACGCCCGCGUCGCGCUCUCCGAACUCUUCGCCGCGCUCGAAGCUCACCGCCCCGCGCCGCGUCCCCCGGCUGCGCAGCGUCCCGUGGCCACCGGAGCCUGGCGAGAAGCCGUGCCAAAGCCCUCUGCCCUCAGGAAGAGCCUCCCACCACCGGGCUUUAAGCUCCCAGCCAUCCCGAGCCAUUCCACGAUCCUAAGGUUUAUCACUCGCUCUGUCUGGGCAGCGCCGCCCGGGUGUCUGAUUUCUCCCCUCCCCUUCGAUCUCAGCAGCGUGAGGUGCAGCUGCUCUGCGGGGAUGGGCUUGGAGGCUCGGGGGGGUCUGGCCGGAGGGCUGUGCUGCCAGGCACUAAAGUUCCACACCACUGGGGGCUGCAGCAGCGGUGAGGCUGGGUGUUCAUCAGUAGGGCCCUCCCACUCCCAUCAAUGUCCUUCUCUGUCGCCGAGCCACUUGUCCGAGUCCCCUGGAGAGCACCAUCACCUCCCUGGGUCAGCCGUCCAUCCACACUUCCCCCGCUCUUUUCUUGCACAAACAAAACAGCCGAGGUAACCUUUGAGAGCAUUUUCUUAACAACAGCAGUAACAGAGCAAACUAUGAGGAUUCCCACCGCCAGCAACAUCAGGAGACGAAGGCCCUCCUUGACGAGGCCACUCAGCCACCCCGCGACCUUGAGCUAAUAACAGAAUAUCUAUGGCAGUGCGAUUCUGUAGCAAGGCAUGCCGUAAGCUGUUCUGGUCAAGCAGAAGCUGUUUGAGAAAGGAGAGUGCAACCCUUGCAGCAAGCGAGAAAAGCUCCGUGGGAUGCUCACAUUCAGGGGUUAGCAGAGCACGCUUCAUGCGAUCAGAGCGGUUAGAGAGUAAUGUUUCAAAGCUGCUCAAAGGUAGGAGCAAACAGAGUUGAUUUUCCUAAGGAAUGGGGUCCACCUGUCUCCUGGCUGGGGAUGCCCUGCCACGCUCUGUCUCCACAGACCAAAAAGAUGUCCGGAGGCAAUGCCUUCGCAGAGCCAUUGCACCAUAUAGUCGAGUUGUUACCAUUUGCAGCUGCGCCAUAGGCAGCCAAACCUGUCUUCUUGAUGUAUUGGUGCCACAGUAAUCACAAGCAUCCCGUAAGUAAAUUUGCCACGGCUAGAUACAGUAGUGCAAGAGGUCCAAUUCAGCCCUUUAUAAGGAUUUAGGCCCUGCUGGGUAUUACUGAAUACAAAGCAGGUCUGGGUCCAAUUCUGUGACGUGUUCCCUAUCGCCUGCGACCCCAUAAGUUACGGUUCCUGGGGAUCCCAAGGCAGCGAGACAUUUCAUCCAGCAAUCAGUUCAGUGGAGCAUCCCAGACUGUGUAGAAGCCGCUGUAGAGCCGGGGCAGAGAGCUGUUGGCAUCGAUGAGGCACAGCGGGGUCUGCUGAGGCCCCCCCCCCCCCCCCAACAGGCUGCCCCACGCCAGCUUCUGCAGCUCGAUGGGCAUCACGGUGUAGGGCAGUGCUUCUCAGUGUAGCCCUGGAAGCCCUGCACUGCCAUGGAGAGCACCGGGUGGAGGCGGCUGUGGCGCGGUCCGGGCUCGGGCCAGGGGAGGCUGCGGGUGGCCGUACAGCGGGGGCUCGUAUGGCCUUCAAGGUGUUGGCAGCAGCACGCCACACCGGUCCCAGAGGCUUCAGCAACUCCUCGUCCUUCCCCCCAGAUAUCACACAGUCCCACGUAUGAUCUCCUAUAUCACGCCAUUCUGAAGCACCGAACAUCAGUGCCACCUCCAUGAGGUAUUCAAGUCAUCGAGCCCAUUUUACCAGCUCCGACGGGCCUUUAGGAGACACUUGCUCCCCUUUCUUAGAGAGGAUAGUUAGGAGCGGUUUCUCUGUAGCUUCCCACUCUAUCGUGGGGGCAGAGGGCAGGGAGGGACCCCGCUUCCAGCUACCGUGACACUUACAGCACUGUUGCUUGUCCGGUGCCAUCCAUCUGCGACCGCUGCCUCGUCUCCCUCUUACUCCAAGGUCCUUUUCUGAUGGUUCUUACUCCAAAGUCCCCGUUUGGGCACCACUUGUCACCGAGUGACUGUUCAGAGUCCUCUGGAGAGCAAUAUUCAGCCAAGGCGCGGCGUGGACGAGGCCACACACCGUUGUGGUUUCUAGCAGCCAAGCCGUGUAAUAACUGCACCCAGCCGCUUAUAUAGAGCGGUACAAAUAACAUGCUAAGUACACAAGGCACGCUUCUCAUGACUGGCAGUUGCUUGCAGCUUGUCUCACGGCACCCGGCACAGCGGUCUCCAUCACAGCUCCGCAUUCCUUUUGCCUACUCCCGUCGUUGUUCUGUGUGAGACAGUGAUCCAUAGCAGCUGUUUUGCUUGCAGUGACCCAGGGGGAGAUAAACAUCACCUCCCUGGGUCAGCUGUCCAUCCACACUUCCCCAGUCCAGGAGCAGAGAAGAGGAGGUUCCGUGACCUCAGUCCCUCCAGCAGAGCCGCCCCAGGCGCUGCAGCAGCUCGGUGGCCCUGUGCUGCACUCUCCCCAGUGUGUCCCGGGCUCUCCUGUGUGGGGGGCCCAGAGCUGCACCCAGUGCUGUCUGUGCAGCCGCACCAUUGCUGAGCAGAGGGCAGAUCCCACUCGUUCCACUGCUGGCAGUGCCAUCCCAGCGCAGCCCGGACACCCUCAGCCUUUGCCCAAAGGGCACAACUGCUCCCGUUCCCCUCAGAGCACAGCCGCACUCAGGGCCCAUCCGCAAAGCUGCUCCCAGCUGUGCCCCAGCAGCCCUGGGUCCAGAGAGGAGGAGGAGUGGGGCCGUCGGAUGGGGCUGUGAUGUACAGGGAACAAUGAGGAUGCACAAGAGCUCUCCUGUAUGCAGUGGAAACAAACAGCUCCUUCUCUCCAUGCCAGCUCUGCACCUCCUCCUGUGACACUCCACAUGUGGGGCUCUGGCAGCUCUCCCUCAGCUCUUCUUCCUCAGCACAGCCCCGAGCAGGGGUGGGGGUGAUGGGGGCCGGGACACACAGCCUGGUGAGGAGGGGGUGAU